UUCUUUUAUUUCCUCUCAUUCUCGCCGUUCUCUCUUAUCUCCCCGACGCCGCCGAGCCUUCUCCUCCUCCUUGCCCUAACCGCCGGCCGACGGUUUCUUCUUCCCGAACGCCGGCGACCGGUUCAUUGCCGGAGCCCUAGCACCGCCUGCCCGAGCAAAACUCCUCUCCUCUGCUUGCCCUAGCCACCCGACGCCACCACAGCGCGUCUGUGCCCAGUGCCGGCGCCACCGUGGACCACUCGGUGCCCUAGCCACCCGGCGCCGCCCGACCACCUUCUUCUCUUCUCCUCUCCUCUGCCGCCACCACAGAGCCGACGCCGACCUUGUGAGCCGACGCCGACUGUCGGCCCUCUUUCUGAUUUUCGUGACAGUGAGCCCUAGCGCCGAUUUUUCUUCUCCUCUUCCGAGUUUAGGUUGCCUCCAAGUUGUGCUGUUCGGGGGAGUUAGUAAUUAGGGUUUGCUGUUGGUUGUCUUGGCUUCGGCAGCCAUUUUCCAGCGGCUACCUUUCUCUGGUAGCAACUUCCCUGCUGUGGGUGAGUGUAGGGGAAUCUUGAAGAGAAGUUUUACUGUAAGUUUUCUUGGAUUUGGCAGCUACUUUCAUCCAGCAGCAAGGAACCGCUGUGGAGGUUAAGGACCUUGACGCGAGACGAGUAUCUCGGAGUCAGAUUGGACCUUUCUAUUUUCGGAGGCGGG